rnacentral:lncRNA from 1 species
AUACAUCCCUGCUUGCUUAAAAUAGCUCUCACGCAUGCCAGUCGUCCUGGCAAAACCUGUAGAUUUCACCUCAAGUAUCCUAGCUAGGCACCAUUCAGAAGGCUAUACGUGGAAGUCUACCAUGACUGGUCGGCAGGGCUAAGAUCCAGAGAGCUUCUAUACUGCCUCACACCCUUCCAUUAAGCUUUAGUUUUAUUAGAAAAAUACACGGUUUCAUUUUACACAUGUGCACUGCAACUCUGAGAUACCUUCCUGAAUAACACCGAACAUUAUCACAGACAUUUCAGAGGCAGGCUCCAAAGCCCAAAGAAAGUUCUCUGGGGCUUUCAGCCGCCAAGCGGAAUGGCAGACGCUACAUUGUUACACAGCAAUUGUUUCACAGAACCUCUCUGCUGAGCUCUGCCACUCUGGCUUCUCACAGGAGUCCGGGCUUCAGCUCCGUGACCACAGCACAGUUAAUAAUGUAUUUCCACCGCACACGUCUCACCGAUGCCAAAAGGAGGAAGGCCAGCAUAGAGGCACUGAAGGGAGCAGGGUCACCAGGAUGAUGUCAUAAUACAGAGCCACCAGGAUGUUGUCAGCACUCAUCCAGAACUUAUCAGAGGGAACAACACUGAACAUUCCUUGAAUGCUGGUCACUACCAUUAAAGAUCCAUCUUGGGCAAACAGUA